UACGGAGGGGGCAAGCGUUGUUCGGAAUUACUGGGCUUAAAGGGUUCGUAGGCGGCCAACUAAGUCAGACGUGAAAUCCCUCGGCUUAACCGGGGAACUGCGUCUGAUACUGGAUGGCUUGAGUUUGGGAGAGGGAUGCGGAAUUCCAGGUGUAGCGGUGAAAUGCGUAGAUAUCUGGAGGAAUACCGGCGGCGAAGGCGGCAUCCUGGACCGGCAUUGACGCUGAUGAGCGAAAGCUAGGGGAGCAAACGGG
rnacentral:rRNA from 1 species